rnacentral:tRNA from 1 species
GGGAUCGUAGCUCAACGGGAGAGCACCUGCCUUGCACGCAGGGGGCUGAGAGUUCAAAUCUCUCCGAUUCCACCA